CUUUUAUAUUGGCAAGAAAAUUACACCGUUUUUCUCUUUUGCUUUUUAUCUCUGAAUAGAAGACUAUAUUCCUUUGUUGCAAUAUAUUUCCUUAAGACUGUAGAACUCCAGCAUCCAUUAUGACAAAAUAAGGAGUCAGUUCUACUCGUGUUCAGCUUUGUAUUCCUGGCAAGUUGAAGACAUCCAGUCCAUGGGCGUAUCAUGUAGACAUCACUGCUUUCUUCAGUUUUUCUAUCUCAAUCUCCAGGUUACUUCGCAUCAGCUUCUCCUCUUCCAAAUCCUUCCUUAGUUUUUCCAGUUCUCUCCCGUGUUCUUUUCUCAGUGCAUCUA
rnacentral:lncRNA from 1 species